rnacentral:tRNA from 1 species
GGCUUUAUAGUAUAAAAAAGACACCAGAUUGCAAAUCUGGAGAUGCAAAUAUUUGCUAAAGCUU